rnacentral:rRNA from 1 species
GGAUGCGAUCAUACCAGCACUAAAGCACCGGAUCCCAUCAGAACUCCGAAGUUAAGCAUGCUUGGGCGAGAGUAGUACUAGGAUGGGUGACCUCUUGGGAAGUCCUCAUGUUGCAUUCC